CUGUGUUAGGAUGGUCUCGAUCUCCUGACCUCGUGUUCCGCCUGACUCGGCCUCCCAAAGUGCUGGGAUUACAGGCGUGAGCCACCGCGCCCAGCAAUAUACUAUUUUUUAUAACUUUAUUGUUUCCUCCCAUAUUGUAAAAUUGACUUUUCCAAAUGUUGCAAAAGGGGGAAAUAGUUCAUUUAUGUAGGUAGUACACACACUUUAUAUGUUUAAAUACUUACAAGUAUAGUGAAUUUAAGAUCAAAGACCUGGUUUCAAAUACAGGCAACACUACAUAGUAAUUUGGAAACUGAAAAAGUCAUCCAGUUUCUAUAAGCUUCCUUUUGCUUGUAAAAAACAGAAUGAGCGGUCUUUUAGGUUCACUUUUCAGCAUCCUUGUACAUGAGCUGAAGUGCACAAUGGCACAUUUAGGUUAUUCAAGCAUUGUGAUAUUAAGAAGGUUCCUGGUGCUUUGAUGAGCUUUACAUCCUAACUGAGCUCCCAAAAAUUCUAAGAUGAAAGUUACAGACAUUAUAUAAUUUUUUUGUGUGUCAUAGUCUUGGGGAUUGUUCAUGAAGAAAUAAGACUGUGUCAUCUGUAUGUGAAAUUGAUACAACUUACUUUGAAGCAUUCUCCCAGCAAUCCUUAUGUGCCCCAUGUGAGCACUUUUCCCAGACAGGCCCUGAUUCUCCCUAUGAGUGCUCACAGCCUGCUCCUCUCCCCACAUGUCACAUCCCUUUCCUCUGCCACGCCAUGCCCAUCUCUGUUCUUCAGAGCUACGUUAGAUGCCACCCUCUCCAAGAAUUCUUCCCAAGCAUCUCCCAGUUGGAAUAUGUUCACCCACCACUGCACGCUGCACAUUGAUGUCUUCACCUGCGAUUUCUGUGGUCUGUCUGUGUAGUCUCUACCACUUGAUGAGCUCCGGGGCCCAGGACCAUAUCUGAGUUCCGUUUACUUAAUGGAAGCCUAAGUGUUCAAAAUUCAACCACAAAACUAAAGUUGUCACCAAGGAGGUUUGCUUUUGUUUUUAUACCUACAAUAGGCUUAUGUAGACAUGAGGAAGAUUGGCAGUAGCCGGGGAAUGGUUUCUGCAUACCCUCGACAGCUGGAGUCAUUAAUCCGCUUAGCAGAAGCCCAUGCUAAAGUAAGAUUGUCUAACAAAGUUGAAGCCAUUGAUGUGGAAGAGGCCAAACGCCUCCAUCGGGAAGCUCUGAAGCAGUCUGCAACUGAUCCCCGGACUGGCAUCGUGGACAUAUCUAUUCUUACUACAGGGAUGAGUGCCACCUCUCGUAAACGGAAAGAAGAAUUAGCUGAAGCAUUGAAAAAGCUUAUUUUAUCUAAG
rnacentral:sRNA from 1 species